GCGCGGGUGGUGGAAUGGCAGACACGUUAGCAUGAGGGGCUAAUGCCGUAAGGUGUGGGGGUUCAACUCCCCCCUCGCGCACCA
rnacentral:tRNA from 4 species